CUGGCGAUCGGGGGGACGUUAACGCUGGAAAUUGCUUUUCAGCUGGGUGAGCCGAGCAGGCCAGAGAAGUCAAGUGAAAGAAAGCGAGCCAACGCAAAGUUAAAUUAAAAAAUUCCAAAGCGCUGAUAUCAGAGAGGCUUCCCCCUGCGACCGAGCGACUGAUCAGCAGGAAGCGGUGGGAUGGGACUCAUCUGCCACAGUACUUCUGUUCAAACAAGAGCAUUAUCUGCUGCUGGGUGAGCCGAAGCCGGAGGAUCAGGAUUCAAUCUGCCUUCAAAAGUAAGCACGUAUUACUGGGUGUUCUGGCUGCUGCCAGGCCGCUCCUGAAUCAGGACGUAGGGAUGAAAAUGUCCUAUUAGACCCCGUCCAGUUCAGCCCUGCAGCCCUCAGGACCACAGAGGCACUCACUCGGGCCUCAAAGAGGUCUGACUCUAGCUGCAAUUCAGAGCCAACGUAGGUGUGUUCACGAUGGUGCGUUUCUACUGUUUAAUUUUGGAAGAAACUCUCCAAAGACUCUAAAGGCUGUUAAAUUUCUGGGCUGAUUGCAACAGCAGCAACGCAGCCGUGUAUCAGGCACGCCAGAAGGACGCCCCAGGCUUUGUGCGCUGGUGGCCGCUUACCUGUCGUCCGUGUCAGGGGCAGCCGUCUGCCGCGCGCUCUCCCCUGUCGCGUGUCGGGGCGCGCGGCGUGUGUGCCUCAUGCUUUUUCUCUGGGGCAAAGCCUAGCACGGUUUGAGCACCCUGCUCUUGGCCACCCGCUCCCCUGAGGGGCAGAGACGUGUCAGGAGACCAGCUCUCCCUGUCACGCAGCCUGGGCAAAUUGGGACAGCGAUGGGGUGAAAGAAGGGCACUGGAGGCAACGCUCGAAAUCCACCUGUGGAUUGAAAUAAUUUGUGAGCUGACGUGGAACAGCUCCAUCUGGUGACUCCCACCAUAACGAUGCUGUAGGUUUCAUGGCUGGCUUUUUAAGCCUGGCUUCCUGAAGGCACAAGGUUUGUGUGAUCGUGCCAGGCUCCCGCGUGCGCCCCACCGCGAGCCUGUUGUACCUCCCGUUGUAUCUUUGACCUCCCUGGCCAAGUCCAGCCAACUCACAAAAGUGCCUUCUUCCAGCGCGUCGAGUGGCUCGCGUGGAAAAGAGGAGGGCAGCGAGGGAUUAGCCGUGAUCCAGGAG
rnacentral:lncRNA from 1 species